rnacentral:lncRNA from 1 species
GCUCGCGCGCGAACUUGAGGCACGCGUUCUUCGCCCGAUUCGUCUCCGCCGAAGCCUCCGCAGCGGCGGCGGCGACGACGGGGCCGGGCCCGUCGUUGAAGUAGCCCUUGCUCCGCAGCUUCUCGAGGAACCGCUCCUACUCCGGCCACGGGUGCUCCGCCGCCGCCGCGGGGCCAUCGGCGGCGGCGGUGGCGGUGGCGAAGGUGGAGAAGAGGAAGAUGGAAAUGGAGGAGGAGGGAGAGAUAGAGUUGCGGCGAGGACGGAGGAGAGAGGAGAUGAGGGGACGGAGCUUGGGAUAAGCCAUGGGAAGAGGAGGAGGAGGAGGAGGAGGAGGAAGAAAAUGGCUGUUAGGGUUUUUGAGCGCCGGAGAGGAGGGAUGGGGUUUCCUACGCCAGUGAUUUGAAAAAAGGGAAAGAGACGAGCUCGUGGCGGCGAUCGAUCUCUGAUUUGAAAAAAAAGGGAAAGAGAGGAAGAGAGAGAGAGAGAGAGAGAGAGAGAGAGAGAGAGAGGUGAACAAGAG